ACCCAAUGGACGGAAGACAUGUUG
rnacentral:siRNA from 1 species